UGUCUCCACUGAGAGCAAUACGUGGCCUUUUCCAUCUGGUUUCCUGCCAACGAAGAGAGGGACCAUUCCUGAUUUGCCUCCUUUGUUAUUGUCCUGAGGGCAUAAUUACCCUCUAGUGAUGGGAUUUGGCAUCUCGUCUUGGCUGAAAAUGGGAUUGCAGUUUGCAUUUACAGUGAAGUAAUUGAUGGCCUCUCUGUUCGGUUUAUGUGCCGAUAAUGCUUGAGGGGCUGAGGCCGUGCCACCGUAGAUCUUUUUUUUUUUUUUUGAAGGCUACCGUAGAUCUUGGCCACGGAUUGCUUGAAAGUGAAAUUGGAUUGGCGUCCUUCUGUCCUGUGGGCUUUCCGGUAGCGUUGAGUUUUUCAUGGUGCCGACGGAAUCUGGGCUUCUAUCACAGAAGGCGUACUCAAAGGUUUGAGGGUGACUGGACUAGACGUGAUCUGUUGUAUUGGUGGGGGCCGAGGGAUGGAGGAGAUUUGGUGUAGCUGUACUUCAUGGCUCGGGGUUAGAGGGCUUGGGGUUACAUUGCGAAAAAAUGUAACCGCACGUUUCAUCAAAUGGAGAUUUCGUUUUCUCGAGCGGGAAGAGAUUUCAUCUCUCUAUGGUGCGUUUUUUAAAGCUUUUUCUCCAUCUGAACGAAGACUCCUUCCCGUCUGAACGAUAACUCCUCCCCCGUCCCACGCACUCACUCUCGCUUAAGACUCAGAUGCUUGAAUACUCACCUCUAAAGUUUUUUUUUUUUUUUUUUUUUUCCCUCUGUUGUAUCUCUUCCUUGACUUUGCGACAUAAAUCCGAGGAGUUUGGAAAACUCUGGCAGGUUUGGAAGUCUAAUUGUCAUCUCUAUCCCCAAGCCUUCGAACAGAGUCUUUCACAGAUCAACAUC